AGUGAACGCUGGCGGCAUGCCUAACACAUGCAAGUCGAACGGCAGCACAGUAAGAGGCCGCUCUGACGGGUGGCGAGUGGCGGAUGGGUGAGGAAAACAUCGGCAGCUACUGGUUAGAGGGGGAUAAAGGAGGGAAAAAUACGCUAAUACAGCAUAGGACCAAAGGGGGGAAGCAGGGGAUCUUGGGACCUUGGGGGAGCGAAUGAGGCGAUGUCGGAUUAGCUAGUUGGAGGGGUAAAGGCGCACCAAGGCGACGAUCCGUAGAUGGUAUGAGAGGAUGAUCAGCCACACUGGAACUGAGACACGGUCCAGACUCCUACGGGAGGCAGCAGUGGGGAAUUUUGGACAAUGGGCGCAAGCCUGAUCCAGCCAUCCCGCGUGGGUGAAGAAGGCCUUCGGGUUGUAAAGCCCUUUUGUUGGGAAAGAAAAGCAGCAGGUUAAUACCCCGCUGUUCUGACGGUACCCGAAGAAUAAGCACCGGCUAACUUCGUG
rnacentral:rRNA from 1 species